UACAGAGGUCUCAAGCGUUGUUCGGAUUCAUUGGGCGUAAAGGGCGCGUAGGCGGCGAGGUAAGUCGGGUGUGAAAUCUCAGAGCUCAACUCUGAAACUGCACUCGAUACUGCUUUGCUAGAGGACUGGAGAGGAGAUUGGAAUUCACGGUGUAGCAGUGAAAUGCGUAGAGAUCGUGAGGAACACCGGUGGCGAAGGCGGCCCCCUGGACCGGUACUGACGCUGAGGCGCGAAAGCGUGGGGAGCAAACGGG
rnacentral:rRNA from 1 species